GAUGAACGCCGGCGGUGUGCCUAAUACAUGCAAGUCGAACGCGUUGGCCCAACUGAUUGAACGUGCUUGCACGGACUUGACGUUGGUUUACCAACGAGUGGCGGACGGGUGAGUAACACGUAGGUAACCUGCCCCAAAGCGGGGGAUAACAUUUGGAAACAGAUGCUAAUACCGCAUAACAGUUUGAAUCGCAUGAUUCAAACUUAAAAGAUGGUUUCGGCUAUCACUUUGGGAUGGACCUGCGGCGCAUUAGCUUGUUGGUAGGGUAACGGCCUACCAAGGCUGUGAUGCGUAGCCGAGUUGAGAGACUGAUCGGCCACAAUGGAACUGAGACACGGUCCAAUACUCCUACGGGAGGCAGCAGUUAGGGGAUCUUCCACAAUGGGCGCAAGCCUGAUGGAGCAACACCGCGUGAGUGAAGAAGGGUUUCGGCUCGUAAAAGCUCUGUUGUUAGAGAAGAACGUGCGUGAGAGCAAACUGUUCACGCAGU
rnacentral:rRNA from 1 species